UGACUAUCUAGAUUCUAGACACCAAUGCUUUUAUGACUAUAAUUCUGAAAUUAUUUUUCUCUGCUCUAUUUUUCCACGUGGUUGCCAUGAAUGUUAUCUCAAUAUAAAAUUGUUUUAUCAUUAUUUGGUUUUUGAGCAUGUUGCCUGUAUGUUUAAAGAUAUAAUAUUCAUUCUUCUGCUCUUCUGUAUUUGUAUCGCCUAUAGGAGCAAUUUUAACAGCAAUUAUAUUUGUACAAAGCAUAGACUACUGAAAUACUUGAAUUUGAUUUGUG
rnacentral:misc_RNA from 1 species